GCGGGCGUGGCGGAACUGGCAGACGCGCUAGAUUUAGGCUCUAGUUCUCACGAGUGCAGGUUCGAUUCCUGUCGCCCGCA
rnacentral:tRNA from 1 species